rnacentral:rRNA from 1 species
GUGCCAGCCGCCGCGGUAAUACAGAGGGUGCGAGCGUUAAUCGGAAUUACUGGGCGUAAAGCGCACGUAGGCGGCUCUGCAAGUCGGUUGUGAAAUCCCCGGGCUCAACCUGGGAACUGCGACCGAGACUGCAUUGCUAGAGUAUGGGAGAGGAAAGCGGAAUUUCUGGUGUAGCAGUGAAAUGCGUAGAUAUCAGAAGGAACAUCAGUGGCGAAGGCGGCUUUCUGGACCAAUACUGACGCUCAGGUGCGAAAGCGUGGGGAGCAAACAGGAUUAGAAACCCCCGUAGUCC